rnacentral:rRNA from 1 species
UAGGGAAUCUUCCACAAUGGGCGAAAGCCUGAUGGAGCAACGCCGCGUGUGUGAUGAAGGGUUUCGGCUCGUAAAACACUGUUGUAAGAGAAGAACAUAUCUGAGAGUAACUGUUCAGGUAUUGACGGUAUUUAACCAGAAAGCCACGGCUAACUACGUGCCA